CCUACGGGAGGCAGCAGUGGGGAAUAUUGGGCAAUGGGCGCAAGCCUGACCCAGCAACGCCGCGUGAAGGAAGAAGGCUUUCGGGUUGUAAACUUCUUUUGUCAGGGACGCAGCAAGUGACGGUACCUGACGAAUAAGCCACGGCUAACUACGUGCCAGCAGCCGCGGGAAUACGUAGGUGGCAAGCGUUAACCGGAUUUACUGGGUGUAAAGGGCGUGUAGGCGGGACUGCAAGUCAGAUGGGAAAACCACGGGCUCCACCUGUGGCCAGCAUUUGAAACUGUAGUUCUUGAGUACUGGAGAGGCAGGCGGAAUGCGUGGUGUAGCGGUGAAAUGCGUAGAUAUUAGGAAGAACACCGGUGGCGAAGGCAGUCUGCUGGACAGCAACUGACGCUGAGGCGCGAAAGCGUGGGGAGCGAACAGGAUUAGAUACCCCGGUAGUC
rnacentral:rRNA from 1 species